GGGAGUAUCGCUUUCAUCAUGUCCAUAGGUAGUUCUUCUGAAAUGGGCAGUGCACCUCCACCUACCUCAACACAGUAUGGCAUAACCAAACCAAUCUCGACUGCUGGACCUACUGAGGUUGAUCUCAAGAGGACUGCUGAACUUGAAAGAGUAUGCUUGUUCUCUUGGUUGAUGCUGGACUGUAUGCGAGCAAGGAAGAAUCUACCAAGAGAGAGGAAGUAUUACAAGAACUUGAUAAUAUUGUCAAAAACUGGGUGAAACAAUUAACACGCCAAAGGGGGUUUUCUGAUCAAAUGGUUGAAAAAGCAAAUGAUGUCAUCUUCACAUUUGGAUUUUACAGAUUGGGGUGGCAGGUUCAUGGACCUGGGGCUGAUGUUGACACUUUGUGUUGGACCUUCCUAUGUUAACCAAGAGGAGGAUUUCUUUAUUAUUCUCCAUGAUCUAUUGGCUGAAAUGGAGGAAGUCUCCGAACUACAUCCAGUUCCUGAUGCUCAUGUUCCAGUUCUUAAAUUUAAGUUCCUGGGAAUAUCCAUCGAUUUACUCUAUGCCAAUAUAUCAC